UGUAUGUCGACUGAUCCACAGU
rnacentral:miRNA from 1 species